rnacentral:rRNA from 1 species
UACAGAGGGGGCAAGCGUUGUUCGGAAUUACUGGGCGUAAAGGGCGCGUAGGCGGCCUGCUAAGUCGAACGUGAAAUCCCCGAGCUCAACUCGGGAACUGCGUCCGAUACUGGCAGGCUUGAAUCCGGGAGAGGGAUGCGGAAUUCCAGGUGUAGCGGUGAAAUGCGUAGAUAUCUGGAGGAACACCGGUGGCGAAGGCGGCAUCCUGGACCGGCAUUGACGCUAAGGCGCGAAAGCCAGGGGAGCAAACGGG